UAGUCCAUGCUGUAAACGAUGAGUACUAGCUGUAGGAAUCGGUGUUAAGGUUCUUGUGGCGUAGCUAACGCGCUAAGUACUCCGCCUGGGGAUUACGGCCGCAAGGCUAAAACUCAAAGGAAUUGACGGGGACCCGCACAAGCGGUGGAGCCUGUGGUUUAAUUCGAUGCAACGCGAAGAACCUUACCUACCCUUGACAUACCAAGAACGAUCUAGAGAUAGAUUGGUGCCUUUUAGGAAUUUGGAUACAGGUGCUGCAUGGCUGUCGUCAGCUCGUGUCGUGAGAUGUUGGGUUAAGUCCCGCAACGAGCGCAACCCUUAUUUACAGUUACCAUCAUUCAGUUGGGGACUCUGUAGAGACUGCCGUGGUUAACACGGAGGAAGGUGGGGACGACGUCAAGUCAUCAUGGCCCUUACGGGUAGGGCUACACACGUGCUACAAUGGGCAUUACAGAGGGAAGCGAAGGGGCGACCUGGAGCGAAACUCAGAAAGGUGUUCGUAGUCCGGAUUGAAAU
rnacentral:rRNA from 1 species